CAGCAGCCACGGGAAUACAGAGGGUGCGAGCGUUAAUCGGAUUUACUGGGCGUAAAGCGUGCGUAGGCGGCUUCUUAAGUCGGAUGUGAAAUCCCUGAGCUUAACUUAGGAAUUGCAUUCGAUACUGGGAAGCUAGAGUAUGGGAGAGGAUGGUAGAAUUCCAGGUGUAGCGGUGAAAUGCGUAGAGAUCUGGAGGAAUACCGAUGGCGAAGGCAGCCAUCUGGCCUAAUACUGACGCUGAAGUACGAAAGCAUGGGGAGCAAACAGGAUUAGAUACCCCAGUAGUCCCUGUCUCUUAUAC
rnacentral:rRNA from 1 species